rnacentral:rRNA from 1 species
CUGGCCUCGGCCCGAGUUGUAAUUUGCAGAGGAUGCUUCUGGCGCGGUGCCUUCCGAGUUCCCUGGAACGGGACGCCACAGAGGGUGAGAGCCCCGUAUGGUCGGACACCAAGCCUGUGUGAAGCUCCUUCGACGAGUCGAGUAGUUUGGGAAUGCUGCUCUAAAUGGGAGGUAAAUCUCUUCUAAAGCUAAAUACCGGCCAGAGACCGAUAGCGCACAAGUAGAGUGAUCGAAAGAUGAAAAGCACCUUGAAAAGGGGGUUAAAUAGUACGUGAAAUUGUUGAAAGGGAAGCACUUGUGACCAGACUUGGGCCGGGCGGCUCAUCAGGGGUUCUCCCCUGUGCACUCCGCCCGGCACAGGCCAGCAUCGGUUCUCGUGGGGGGAUAAGACCGUCAGGAACGUAGCACCCUCCGGGGUGUGUUAUAGCCUGGCGGACGAUACCCCCGUGGGGACCGAGGUUCGCGCUCCGCAAGGAUGCUGGCGUAAUGGUCACCAGUGACCCGUCUUGAAACACGGACCAAGGAGUCGUCCAUUAGAGCGAGCGUUUGGGUGUAAAACCCGCACGCGUAAUGAAAGUGAACGCAGGUGAGAGCUUCGGCGCAUCAUCGACCGAUCCUGAUGUUCUCGGAAGGAUUUGAGUAAGAGUUUUAACGGACGGACCCGAAAGACAGUGAACUAUGCUUGUAUAGGGUGAAGCCAGAGGAAACUCUGGUGGAGGCUCGCAGCGGUUCUGACGUGCAAAUCGAUCGUCAAAUAUGAGCAUGGGGGCGAAAGACUAAUCGAACUGUCUAGUAGCUGGUUACCGCCGAAGUUUCCCUCAGGAUAGCAGUGUUGAUCUUCAGUUUUAUGAGGUAAAGCGAAUGAUUAGGGACUCGGGGGCGCUAUAUUGCCUUCAUCCAUUCUCAAACUUUAAAUAUGUAAGAAGCCCUUGUUACUUAGUUGAACGUGGGCAUUCGAAUGUACCAACACUAGUGGGCCAUUUUUGGUAAGCAGAACUGGCGAUGCGGGAUGAACCGAACGCGGGGUUAAGGCGCCAGAGUGUACGCUCAUCAGACACCACAAAAGGCGUUAGUACAUCUUGACAGCAGGACGGUGGCCAUGGAAGUCGGAAUCCGCUAAGGACUGUGUAACAACUCACCUGCCGAAUGUACUAGCCCUGAAAAUGGAUGGCGCUCAAGCGUACCGCCCAUACCCCGCCCCCAGGGUAGAAACGAUGCCCUGGGGAGUAGGCGGCCGUGGGGG